GUCCACGCCGUAAACGAUGCGCGCUAGAUGUCGGGGGGCUUGCCUCUCGGUGUCGCAGCUAACGCGUUAAGCGCGCCGCCUGGGGAGUACGGCCGCAAGGUUAAAACUCAAAGGAAUUGACGGGGGCCCCGCACAAGCGGUGGAGCAUGUGGUUUAAUUCGAAGCAACGCGAAGAACCUUACCAGCCCUUGACAUGGGGAGUAUGGGCCCGAGAAAUCGGGUCCUUCAGUUCGGCUGGCUCCCACACAGGUGCUGCAUGGCUGUCGU
rnacentral:rRNA from 1 species